AGCUCCAAUAGCGUAUAUUUAAGUUGUUGCAGUUAAAAAGCUCGUAGUUGGAUUUUGGGUCGGGGGCACCGGUCCGCCGUUCCGGUGUGCACUGGUGGCCCCUUCCUUUCUGCCGGGGACGUGCGUCGCACUUAAUUGGGUGGCGUUCGGAGUCGGCGUUGUUACUUUGAAAAAAUUAGAGUGUUCAAAGCAAGCCAUCGCUCUGAAUACAUUAGCAUGGAAUAACAUGAUAGGACUCCGGUCUUAUUUUGUUGGUUUCCGAGACUGGAGUAAUGAUUAAGAGGGACAGUCGGGGGCAUCCGUAUUUCAUUGUCAGAGGUGAAAUUCUUGGAUUUAUGAAAGACGAACUUCUGCGAAAGCAUUUGCCAAGGAUGUUUUCAUUAAUCAAGAACGAAAGUAG
rnacentral:rRNA from 1 species